GCAUAGAUUACAGAGCAAAUUUUCCUCUGGCAUGUAGCCACUUACAAUUACAAAUGCUUCUGCUCAUUCAUCACCGAUUAGCAUUGCAUUAUCUUCUUGUAGUGUGUUCUAUGCCAAAGGAGAUUUGCUCGGCAAUUCUUCU
rnacentral:pre_miRNA from 1 species